rnacentral:misc_RNA from 1 species
GAUGAAGAACGUAGCGAAAUGCGAUAAGUAAUGUGAAUUGCAGAAUUCAGUGAAUCAUCGAAUCUUUGAACGCACCUUGCACCCUUUGGUAUUCCGAAGGGUAUGCCCGUUUGAGUGUCAUUGUACUCUCACACUUCUAAUUCCUUUCGGGAUUGGGAGCGGUGGACUUGGGUGUUGCUGCUUUAGUUGUGGCUCACCUCAAAUAAGUUAGUGCAACUCUUGGUUGGACAUAGUACGGCGUGAUAAGUGUCUUCGCCGGCGCCUCUGUAAGGAGGGUGGCCGAUCGGGAGCUCUGUGCUUCAAACCGUCUUCGGACAAUCUUUGACAACUUGACCUCAAAUCGAGUAGGACUACCCGCUGAACUUAAGCAUAUCAAUAAGCGGAGG